rnacentral:tRNA from 1 species
GGUAAUUAUAAUUUAACGGCAAAAUAUCUGCUUGUGGUGCAGACCAUCUGGGUUCGAUUCCCAGUAUUUACC